rnacentral:rRNA from 1 species
GCCUAAUACAUGCAAGUCGAGCGGACAGAAGGGAGCUUGCUCCCGGAUGUUAGCGGCGGACGGGUGAGUAACACGUGGGUAACCUGCCUGUAAGACUGGGAUAACUCCGGGAAACCGGAGCUAAUACGGAUAGUUCCUUGAACCGCAUGGUUCAAGGAUGAAAGACGGUUUCGGCUGUCACUUACAGAUGGACCCGCGGCGCAUUAGCUAGUUGGUGGGGUAAUGGCUCACCAAGGCGACGAUGCGUAGCCGACUGAGAGGGUGAUCGGCCACACUGGGACUGAGACACGGCCCAGACUCCUACGGGAGGCAGCAGUAGGGAAUCUUCCGCAAUGGACGAAAGUCUGACGGAGCAACGCCGCGUGAGUGAUGAAGGUUUUCGAUCGUAAAGCUCUGUUGUUAGGGAAGAACAAGUGCGAGAGUAACUGCUCGCACCUUGACGGUACCUAACCAGAAAGCCACGGCUAACUACGUGCCAGCAGCCGCGGUAAUACGUAGGUGGCAAGCGUGUCCGGAAUUAUUGGGCGUAAAGGGCUCGCAGGCGGUUUCUUAAGUCUGAUGUGAAAGCCCCCGGCUCAACCGGGGAGGGUCAUUGGAAACUGGGAAACUUGAGUGCAGAAGAGGAGAGUGGAAUUCACGUGUAGCGGUGAAAUGCGUAGAGAUGUGGAGGAACACCAGUGGCGAAGGCGACUCUCUGGUCUGUAACUGACGCUGAGGAGCGAAAGCGUGGGGAGCGAACAGGAUUAGAUACCCUGGUAGUCCCGCCGUAAACGAUGAGUGCUAAGUGUUAGGGGGUUUCCGCCCGCUUAGUGCUGCAGCUAACGCAUUAAGCACUCCGGC